UCCGGAAUGGUGUAGUGGUUAGCAUUUCUGCCUUUCAACCACCUGUCUGCCUGACACACAAACAGUGAAAGCCCGCAGGAGACCGGGGUUCAAUUCCCCGUUCCGGAA